ensembl:lncRNA
GCCUACCGAAAGAAACGUUCUUUACGCUCCAAGUGUGGGAAGGGAAAACGUUAAGGACCUUUGCACUGUGCUGGAAGUGAACGCAUUAUAUUCCCCAACUCCCACCCGCCCCUUACUUCAGUAGAUGCACUAGCAUCGGAGGCCUGACCAGGAAGAAUGAAGGUCGCCUGGAAAUGUGAUACAGCAAGCAAGAUGUAGAAAUAAUGUGUGUCCUGGGGUUGUCUCCCACUGGAGAUCCCAGGACAUUUUCCAGUUGCUCCUGCCACAACGAUCUCUGCCAUCUCAGUGCCUUUGAUGCCCCUCGUGAAUUCAGGAAGCUCUGCAGUGCCAGCAGGGCUUCACAAAACCCAGUUGCUCCCCAAUCCUCUUUCUCUUCCACCUCUCUGUCAUCUUCGAAGAAAUCUCAAAGCUUAUUUAAAAGGUGGGGCG